GAUGAACGCUGGCGGCGUGCCUAAUACAUGCAAGUCGAACGCGAGAGGAGGGAGCUUGCUCCCUCUGAUCGAGUGGCGGACGGGUGAGUAACACGUAGGCAACCUGCCCAUCAGCCGGGGAUAACUGCGGGAAACCGUGGCUAAUACCGGAUAAUCCUCUCCACCGCGGGGUGGGGAGUUGAAAGACGGUUUCGGCUGUCGCUGAUGGAUGGGCCUGCGGCGCAUUAGCUGGUUGGCGGGGUAACGGCCCACCAAGGCAACGAUGCGUAGCCGACCUGCGAGGGUGAUCGGCCACACUGGGACUGAGACACGGCCCAGACUCCUACGGGAGGGAGCAGUAGGGAAUCUUCCGCAAUGGACGCAAGUCGGACGGAGCAACGCCGCGUGAGUGAAGAAGGGUUUCGGCUCGUAAAACUCUGUUGUUAAGGAAGAACGCCAGGUAGAGUAACUGCUACCUGUGUGACGGUACUUAACCAGAAAGCCACGGCUAACUACGUGCCAGCCGCCGCUGUAA
rnacentral:rRNA from 1 species